rnacentral:lncRNA from 1 species
GCAAUCGCUGGGCGUUGAUGAAGUACAAUAUUAUAUGGGGAGUGUAGGUAUUGGGCAUGAAAGAAGAAAAGCACUAGACUAGCGGUUAGUGGACACUUGAGCAGAUGCAUGACUUGGGCUAAACAUGGUAAGUUUUAACCUCCUAUAAGUUAUGUUUCCGGAGGUGAAUUGACCCAUAACUUAUGAGAAGUAAUAUUGUAUAUGUAGACAGAGAGAGUCCCUUUUUCUGCUUCCAGAUCUAUCCCAAUCGAUCAUGCGUGCUUCUCUCCCCCUCCCUCCAUUCACUCUCCCCUCCCAGGCGCUCUGCUUCUCUAGAACCUAAAGGUAUUUUAUUAUUCUUCUAGCUUAAUAAAAUUAUUAUUAUUAUUAUUACGCUGUCCAUUCGACACUGAU